CCUACGGGGCGCUGCAGUGGGGAAUAUUGGACAAUGGGCGAAAGCCUGAUCCAGCCAUGCCGCGUGUGUGAAGAAGGCCUUCGGGUUGUAAAGCACUUUCAGUGGGGAAGAAAGCCUUGGGGCUAAUACCCUCGAGGAAGGACAUCACCCACAGAAGAAGCACCGGCUAACUCCGUGCCAGCAGCCGCGGUAAUACGGAGGGUGCGAGCGUUAAUCGGAAUUACUGGGCGUAAAGCGCGCGUAGGCGGUCUGAUAAGCCGGUUGUGAAAGCCCCGGGCUCAACCUGGGAACGGCAUCCGGAACUGUCAGGCUAGAGUGCAGGAGAGGAAGGUAGAAUUCCCGGUGUAGCGGUGAAAUGCGUAGAGAUCGGGAGGAAUACCAGUGGCGAAGGCGGCCUUCUGGACUGACACUGACGCUGAGGUGCGAAAGCGUGGGUAGCAAACAGGAUUAGAUACCGAGUAGUC
rnacentral:rRNA from 1 species